rnacentral:rRNA from 1 species
AGUGGACGUUACUCGCAGAAUAAGCACCGGCUAACUCUGUGCCAGCAGCCGCGGUAAUACAGAGGGUGCGAGCGUUAAUCGGAUUUACUGGGCGUAAAGCGUGCGUAGGCGGCUUAUUAAGUCGGAUGUGAAAUCCCCGAGCUUAACUUGGGAAUUGCAUUCGAUACUGGUGAGCUAGAGUAUGGGAGAGGAUGGUAGAAUUCCAGGUGUAGCGGUGAAAUGCGUAGAGAUCUGGAGGAAUACCGAUGGCGAAGGCAGCCAUCUGGCCUAAUACUGACGCUGAGGUACGAAAGCAUGGGGAGCAAACAGGAUUAGAUACCCUGGUAGUCCAUGCCGUAAACGAUGUCUACUAGCCGUUGGGGCCUUUGAGGCUUUAGUGGCGCAGCUAACGCGAUAAGUAGACCGCCUGGGGAGUACGGUCGCAAGACUAAAACUCAAAUGAAUUGACGGGGGCCCGCACAAGCGGUGGAGCAUGUGGUUUAAUUCGAUGC